rnacentral:rRNA from 1 species
CACGUAGGGCGCGAGCGUUGUCCGGAAUUAUUGGGCGUAAAGAGCUCGUAGGCGGCCUGUUGCGUCCGCUGUGAAAGCCCGGGGCUUAACCCCGGGUCGGCAGUGGAUACGGGCAGGCUAGAGGUAGGUAGGGGAGAAUGGAAUUCCCGGUGUAGCGGUGAAAUGCGCAGAUAUCGAGAGGAACACCAGUGGCGAAGGCGAGUCCCUGGACAGGUCCUGACGCUGAGGCACGAAAGCUAGGGGAGCAAACAGG